GUUUACUUGUAUGAUGAAGAUUAUGUUGGUAGGGACAUCUGAUGAUAACUGAUGAAUGCCAACACUUCUGACAUGUAUAA